UCAUAGAAUUUCUUUAAAUUCAUGAUGUCGUAAGGGAAAAUAAUGAUAUUACCUUACUAUGAGUGUCGUCCAAAACUGGUGCCAGAAGACUCGGUAAGGCCAGAGACGCAAACGUUAAUCAUCUUAAACAGGCGUAAAGGGUUUGUAGGCAGCUUUCAUAAAAUUAUUUCUUACAAAAAUAAAUAAGUGGUCUGAUUGAAAGCUAGAAUCAAAAAGAGGUUAUAGUGUAUAACGCCUAGAGGAGGGCUGAUAUCCUUAGAUCCUAGGCAGAAUACUUAGGGCGAAGGCCACUCUCCACUAAUGAUUGACGCUGAGAAACGAAGGUAAGGGUAGGAAAUAGGAUUAGAUACCCCGGUACUCCUUUCUGUAAACGAUGAAUGGUAGUCAUUAGUAAAAAUAAAAACUACUAGAGACGAAGUUAACACAAUAACCAUUCCGCCUUGUGAGUACUACUGCAAAGUAGAAAACAAAAAAAUUAGUCGGUCUCGAAGCAAACGGAGUGAAGCAUGUUAUUUA
rnacentral:rRNA from 1 species